rnacentral:rRNA from 1 species
AGGAAUUUUCCGCAAUGGGGGAAACCCUGACGCAGCAACGCCGCGUGGAGGAUGAAAUCCCUUGGGAUGUAAACUCCUUUCGAUCGGGACGAUAAUGACGGUACCGGAAGAAGAAGCCCCGGCUAACUUCGUGCCAGCAGCCGCGGUAAUACGAGGGGGGCAAGCGUUGUUCGGAAUUAUUGGGCGUAAAGGGUGCGUAGGCGGUUUGACAAGUCUUAUGUGAAAUCUUCGGGCUCAACCCGAAGCCUGCAUGGGAAACUGUCGAGCUUGAGUAUGGGAGAGGUGAGUGGAAUUUCCGGUGUAGCGGUGAAAUGCGUAGAUAUCGGAAGGAACACCUGUGGCGAAAGCGGCUCACUGGACCAUUACUGACGCUGAUGCACGAAAGCUAGGGGAGCAAAC